UCGGGGCAUUGGAGACAGGUGGUGCAUGGUUGUCGUCAGCUCGUGUCGUGAGAUGUUGGGUUAAGUCCCGCAACGAGCGCAACCCCUAUUUCCAGUAGCCAGCAAGAAAGAUGGGAACUCUGGAGAGACUGCCCGGGAUAACUGGGAGGAAGGCGGGGAUGACGUCAAAUCAUCAUGCCCCUUAUGAUCAGGGCUACACACGUGCUACAAUGGCGUAAACAAAGGGAAGCGAAGUGGUGACACGAAGCAAAUCCGAAAAACAACGUCUCAGUUCGGAUUGUAGUCUGCAACUCGACUACAUGAAGCUGGAAUCGCUAGUAAUCGCGAAUCAGAAUGUCGCGGUGAAUACGUUCCCGGGUCUUGUACACACCGCCCGUCACACCAUGGGAGUCGGAAAUGCCCGAAGUCAGUGACCCAACCGAGAGGAGGGAGCUGCCGAAGGUGGAGCCGGUAACUGGGGUGAAGUCGUAACAAGGUAGCCGUAUCGGAAGGUGCGGUUGGAUC
rnacentral:rRNA from 1 species